AUGGUUGUGGCCCUGGAGGAGCUACAGAAAGAUCUAGAAGAAGUAAAGGAAUUGCUGGAAAAGGCCACUAGGAAAAGAGUAUGUGAUGCCCUCAUAGCUGAAAAAUCCAGGAUUGAGACAGAAAUCAAGAACAAGGUGCAACAGAAAUCACAGAAGAAAACAGAAGUCCUUGACAAUGAAAAAUCAGCUGCCGUGGUCACUCCCAUUACAACAGGAUACACAGUGAAAAUCAGUAAUCAUGGGUGGGAUCAAUCAGAUAAGUUUGUGAAAAUUUAUAUCACCCUAACUGGAGUUCAUCGGGCUCCUACUGAGAAUGUACAGGAGCAUUUCACUGAGAGGUCAUUUGGUCUUCUGGUAAAGAAUCUCAAUGGGAAGAGUUAUUUCACGAUUGUGAGCAAUCUCCUGAAGCCUAUCUCUGUGGAGGGCAGUUCCAAAACAGUCAAGAUAUACCGUUCUUAUCUUAUGUAGAGAGAAAGCAGAAAACACUAGGUGGGACUACCUGACUCAGGUUGAAAAAGAGUGCAAAGAAAAAGAAAAGCCUUCAUAUGACACUGAAACAGAUACUAGUGAGGGGCUCAUGAAUGUUCUAAAGAAAAUUUAUGAAGAUGGAGAUGAUGACAUGAAGCGAACCAUUAAUAAAGCCUGGGUGGAGUUGAAAGAGAAGCAAGCCAAAGGAGAUGCAGAAUUUUGA